rnacentral:rRNA from 1 species
AGAGUUUGAUCAUGGCUCAGGUUGAACGCUGGCGGCAUGCCUUACACAUGCAAGUCGAACGGCAGCACGGGAGCAAUCCUGGUGGCGAGUGGCGAACGGGUGAGUAAUACAUCGGAACGUGCCCUGUAGUGGGGGAUAACUAGUCGAAAGACUAGCUAAUACCGCAUACGACCUGAGGGUGAAAGUGGGGGACCGCAAGGCCUCAUGCUAUAGGAGCGGCCGAUGUCUGAUUAGCUAGUUGGUGGGGUAAAGGCCUACCAAGGCGACGAUCAGUAGCUGGUCUGAGAGGACGAUCAGCCACACUGGGACUGAGACACGGCCCAGACUCCUACGGGAGGCAGCAGUGGGGAAUUUUGGACAAUGGGGGCAACCCUGAUCCAGCAAUGCCGCGUGUGUGAAGAAGGCCUUCGGGUUGUAAAGCACUUUUGUCCGGGAAGAAAUCGCACCUGAUAAUACCGGGUGUGGAUGACGGUACCGGAAGAAUAAGGACCGGCUAACUACGUGCCAGCAGCCGCGGUAAUACGUAGGGUCCAAGCGUUAAUCGGAAUUACUGGGCGUAAAGCGUGCGCAGGCGGUUGUGCAAGACCGAUGUGAAAUCCCCGGGCUUAACCUGGGAAUUGCAUUGGUGACUGCACGGCUAGAGUGUGUCAGAGGGGGGUAGAAUUCCACGUGUAGCAGUGAAAUGCGUAGAGAUGUGGAG